UACGGGGGGAGCAAGCGUUGUUCGGAUUUACUGGGCGUAAAGGGCGCGUAGGCGGCGUGACAAGUCACUUGUGAAAUCUCCGGGCUUAACUCGGAACGGUCAAGUGAUACUGUCGUGCUAGAGUACAGAAGGGGCAACUGGAAUUCUCGGUGUAGCGGUGAAAUGCGUAGAUAUCGAGAGGAACACCUGCGGCGAAGGCGGCCUUCUGGUCCAGUACUGACACUCAAGUGCGAAAGCGUGGGGAGCAAACAGG
rnacentral:rRNA from 1 species